GGGUGCGUUUGUUACUUCAAACCAAUCGGACUUCGAUCUGACAUCAAGUGAUAUUGAACAAUUUAGCUGAUCGCACGGUCUAAGAACCGGCGACAUAUCCUUCAAAUGUCUGCCUUAUCAACCUUCGAUGGUAGAUUAUGCGCCUACCAUGGUUGUAACGGGUAACGGAGAAUCGGGGUUUGAUUCCGGAGAGGGAGCCUGAGAAACGGCUACCACAUCCAAGGAAGGCAGCAGGCACGCAAAUUACCCACUCCCGGCACGGGGAGGUAGUGACGAAAAAUAACAAGCUGGUCUCAAUGAGUUCCAGCAUUGUAAUGGGAACAAUUUAAAUCUUUUAUCGAGGAUCUAUUGGAGGGCAAGUCUGGUGCCAGCAGCCGCGGUAAUUCCAGCUCCAAUAGCGUAUAUUAAAGUUGUUGCGGUUAAAAAGCUCGUAGUUGGAUCUAGGAUUAGGGCUACGGUCGUUCAGCUUGGACGUACUGUAUGCCCGACUCCUUUUCUCUAGAUUGAAUUGUUGCUCUUAAAGGGGUGACAUUAGGUGCUGGCAAUCUUACCGUGAAAAAAUAAGGAGCCCAGAGC
rnacentral:rRNA from 1 species